GGAUUUGUGUUUAAGUCCAAUUAAUUAAUUCUCUUUGUUCCUUCUUCAACUGAAUAUCAAUCUAAUUGAUUACUUGUGAUUCCUAAUCACGAUUCAACCAUCGGAUCGGUCAAUAAUUCUAGUGUGUGUGACCCCAUAGGUUCUACUCUGACUGGUAGUGAGAUAUAUUAUGAUCUCUAUCACAAUAUCAUUGAAAACU
rnacentral:lncRNA from 1 species